rnacentral:rRNA from 1 species
AGUGAACGCUGGCGGUAGGCCUAACACAUGCAAGUCGAACGGCAGCACAGUAAGAGCUUGCUCUUACGGGUGGCGAGUGGCGGACGGGUGAGGAAUACAUCGGAAUCUACUUUUUCGUGGGGGAUAACGUAGGGAAACUUACGCUAAUACCGCAUACGACCUACGGGUGAAAGCAGGGGAUCUUCGGACCUUGCGCGAUUGAAUGAGCCGAUGUCGGAUUAGCUAGUUGGCGGGGUAAAGGCACACCAAGGCGACGAUCCGUAGCUGGUCUGAGAGGAUGAUCAGCCACACUGGAACUGAGACACGGUCCAGACUCCUACGGGAGGCAGCAGUGGGGAAUAUUGGACAAUGGGCGCAAGCCUGAUCCAGCCAUACCGCGUGGGUGAAGAAGGCCUUCGGGUUGUAAAGCCCUUUUGUUGGGAAAGAAAAGCAGCAGGUUAAUACCCCGCUGUUCUGACGGUACCCAAAGAAUAAGCACCGGCUAACUUCGUG